UUCAGUGGUGAUGGCUGCAGGGAUCCACCUGUUCCCAUACCGAACACAGCAGUUAAGCCUGCAAACGCCGAAAGUACUUGGGUGGAAGCGCCC
rnacentral:rRNA from 1 species